GACAAACGCUGGCGGCGUGCGUAACACAUGCAAGUUGAACGCGAAUAUAUAAGAAGUGGUAACACGGAUUGUAUGUUUGAGUAGCGGACGGGUGAGUACAACAUGAGAACCUAUCCUUCAAAGGGGGACGACGUUUGGAGGCGGACGCUAAUACCCCAUAAGCCGAGAGGUUAAAGCAGCGAUGCGAUGGAGGAGGGGCUCGUGUCCUAUCAGCUAGUUGGUGGGGUAAUGGCCUACCAAGGCGACGACGGGUAGCCGGCCUGAGAGGGUGUACGGCCACACUGGAACUGAGAUACGGUCCAGACUCCUACGGGAGGCAGCAGUGGGGAAUAUUGGGCAAUGGGAGAAAUCCUGACCCAGCGACGCCGCGUGAACGAAGACGGCCUUCGGGUUGUAAAGUUCUUUUAUGUGGGAAGAAAACAAUGACGGUACCACAUGAAUAAGCCCCGGCUAACUACGUGCCAGCCGCCGCCGUAA
rnacentral:rRNA from 1 species